rnacentral:rRNA from 1 species
UUUUUGAAAAUAAUUUAAAGUCUAAUCUGCCCACUGAUGAAAAUUAAAGGGCUGCAGUAUAUUGACUGUACAAAGGUAGCAUAAUCAUUAGUCUUUUAAUUGAAGACUUGUAUGAAAGAUUUAAUGAAAUAUAAACUGUCUCUUAUUUAAAAAUAGAAUUUAAUUUUUUAGUUAAAAAGCUAAAAUAAAUUUAAAAGACGAGAAGACCCUAUAGAGUUUUAUAAUUAAAUUAUUUAAGAUUUUUUAUAUAAUUUAUAGUUAAAAAUAAUUUAAUUAUUAUAUUGGGGUGAUAAAAAAAUUAAAAUAACUUUUUUUUUAUAAUAACAUAAAUAAGUGAAAAGUUGAUCCAUUAAUAAUGAUUAAAAGAAAAAAUUACCUUAGGGAUAACAGCGUAAUUUUUUUUUUUAGUACAAAUAAAAAAAAGAGAUUGCGACCUCGAUGUUGGAUUAAGAUAAAAUUUAGAUGCAAAAGUUUAAAAUUUUGAUCUGUUCGAUCAUUAAAAUCUUACAUGAUC